GGGUGCUCGAGUGGCGAACGGGUGAGUAACACGUGAGUAACCUGCCCUUGACUUUGGGAUAACUUCAGGAAACUGGGGCUAAUACCGGAUAGGAGCUCCUGCUGCAUGGUGGGGGUUGGAAAGUUUCGGCGGUUGGGGAUGGACUCGCGGCUUAUCAGCUUGUUGGUGGGGUAGUGGCUUACCAAGGCUUUGACGGGUAGCCGGCCUGAGAGGGUGACCGGCCACAUUGGGACUGAGAUACGGCCCAGACUCCUACGGGAGGCAGCAGUGGGGAAUAUUGCACAAUGGGCGGAAGCCUGAUGCAGCAACGCCGCGUGCGGGAUGACGGCCUUCGGGUUGUAAACCGCUUUCGCCUGUGACGAAGCGUGAGUGACGGUAAUGGGUAAAGAAGCACCGGCUAACUACGUGCCAGCAGCCGCGGUGAUACGUAGGGUGCGAGCGUUGUCCGGAUUUAUUGGGCGUAAAGGGCUCGUAGGUGGUUGAUCGCGUCGGAAGUGUAAUCUUGGGGCUUAACCCUGAGCGUGCUUUCGAUACGGGUUGACUUGAGGAAGGUAGGGGAGAAUGGAAUUCCUGGUGGAGCGGUGGAAUGCGCAGAUAUCAGGAGGAACACCAGUGGCGAAGGCGGUUCUCUGGGCCUUUCCUGACGCUGAGGAGCGAAAGCGUGGGGAGCGAACAGGCUUAGAUACCCUGGUAGUCCACGCUGUAAACGGUGGGUACUAGGUGUGGGGUCCAUUCCACGGGUUCCGUGCCGUAGCUAACGCUUUAAGUACCCCGCCUGGGGAGUACGGCCGCAAGGCUAAAACUCAAAGGAAUUGACGGGGCCCCGCACAAGCGGCGGAGCAUGCGGAUUAAUUCGAUGCAACGCGUAGAACCUUACCUGGGUUUGACAUGGAUCGGGAGCGCUCAGAGAUGGGUGUGCCUCUUUUGGGGUCGGUUCACAGGUGGUGCAUGGCUGUCGUCAGCUCGUGUCGUGAGAUGUUGGGUUAAGUCCCGCAACGAGCGCAACCCUUGUUCACUGUUGCCAGCACGUUAUGGUGGGGACUCAGUGGAGACCGCCGGGGUCAACUCGGAGGAAGGUGGGGAUGACGUCAAGUCAUCAUGCCCCUUAUGUCCAGGGCUUCACGCAUGCUACAAUGGCUGGUACAGAGAGUGGCGAGCCUGUGAGGGUGAGCGAAUCUCGGAAAGCCGGUCUCAGUUCGGAUUGGGGUCUGCAACUCGACCU
rnacentral:rRNA from 1 species